rnacentral:lncRNA from 1 species
AAAAACCCUACUACCCAAAAUUCAAGAACAAGGCCAGAAAUCUAUGGAGGAAACUGGUACGCAAAUUCAUUUUUCACGGUCUAUAGAUAUAGCUUAUACUCUUAUUUCUCUACGUCAAUAUAUUUUAUGAAGAUGUAUGGUAAUAUUUAUUUUUCAGAAAUACAUUAUUCAUAUAAUAUUUUAAUUUGUUGUUUGGGGUUUUGGCAUCUGUGUUUUUUGUUUGAAAGUCUUAGAUAUUCAUACUCUUUCAUCCGUUUAUUCGCAUUGUUUUAAUUUAGAAUUCAUAUGCAUAAACGUGUUUCAGAAUGUUCAUAGAUAUAUACCCAGAUUUCAUGCAGUUAAUCUAAAACACAUUCGUCAAUAUAUAAGUGGUAUUUUCACAUAGUCAAAGUUUGUAGUUCAAUUUUAAUAUUUUAAAUGUCAGAAAUUCUUAUGUACAUGGUUAGGUACUGACAACUACUUGUUCCGUAAUCUUAAACCUAUAUAGCAACUUCAUGAACUUUAUUCUACAUUCAAAUUAAUCUAUUAAUUAUUUAAUCACUUGUAUAAUUACAGGGUAUCAAAAUCAUGAAGGCUAUCACGAUGGUCACCGGUUAUUUAUACCAAUUUGUGAUGAUAAUGAGAAGCCAUAUGUCGGUAAGACAUUCAAAUCCAUUGAAGAGCCGUGGAAAUUUUAUAAAGAUUAUGGAUAUGCAUCUGAUUUAGAUGUUCAGAAAGGACCCGC